rnacentral:rRNA from 1 species
UCGAGAAUCAUUCACAAUGGACGAAAGUCUGAUGGUGCAACGCCGCGUGGAGGAUGAAGGCCCUCGGGUCGUAAACUCCUGUCAUCAGGGAGUAAGCUUUGGUUGUUAACAGCCUCCAAAGUUGAUAGUACCUGAAGAGGAAGGGACGGCUAACUUCGUGCCAGCAGCCGCGGUAAUACGAAGGUCCCAAGCGUUGUUCGGAAUCACUGGGCGUAAAGAGUAUGUAGGCGGUAUGGAAAGUCAGAUGUGAAAUCUUGGGGCUCAACCCCGAAACUGCAUCCGAUACUCCCAUACUAGAGUAAUGGAGGGGUGACUGGAAUUCUCGGUGUAGCAGUGAAAUGCGUAGAUAUCGAGAGGAACACUCGUGGCGAAGGCGAGUCACUGGACAUUUACUGACGCUGAGAUACGAAGGCCAGGGUAGCGAAAGGG